rnacentral:ncRNA from 1 species
CAAAAGUUUGGUCCUAACUUCACUGUCAAUUUUAACUAAAUUUACACAUGCAAGUAUCCGCGCCCCUGUGAGGUCUAUUCAAGUCUCUUUUGAACUCUGAACAAUGAUAUCAGGCACAAUAAAUAUUGGCCCAAAACAUCUAGCACAGCCACACCCCCAAGGGAAUUCAGCAGUGAAAAAUAUUAAGCUAUAAGCGAGAGCUUGACUUAGUUACAGCUUUUAGAGCCGGUAAAACUCGUGCCAGCCACCGCGGUUAUACGAGAGGCUCAAAUUGACCGUCAUCGGCGUAAAACGUGUUUUAAGUACAAUAAAACUAAAGUAGAAUACCCCCAAAGCUGUUAUACGCUUUUGGACGGAAGAAAGACUUUUACGAAAGUAACUUUAAUUAUCUUGAAUACACGAAAGCUGUGAAACAAACUGGGAUUAGAUACCCCACUAUGCACAGUUAUAAACUUCGAUAUAUGUACACACAUAUAUAUAUUCGCCCGGGUACUACGAGCAUAAGCUUAAAACCCAAAGGACUUGGCGGUGCUUUAAUCCCACCUAGAGGAGCCUGUUCUAUAACCGAUAACCCCCGUUAAACCUUACCUUCUCUUGUUUUUCCCGUCUAUAUACCGCCGUCGUCAGUUUACCCUAUGAGGGCACCUAAGUAAACAAAAUUGAUUUAAUCCAAAACGCCAGGUCGAGGUGUAGCAUAUGAGAAAGAAAGAAAUGGGCUACAUUUCCUAUACCUAGGACAAACGAAAACUAUUAUGAAACAUAAAAAUUAAAGGAGGAUUUAGCAGUAAGAAGGAAAUAGAGUGUCCUACUGAAAUUGGCCCUGAAGCACGCACACACCGCCCGUCACUCUCCCCAAACCACCAAUUUAAUCCAUAAUAUAAAACCAGGUUAAAGGGGAGGCAAGUCGUAACAUGGUAAGUAUACCGGAAGGUGUCCUUGGCUAACC